UAGGAAGACUCCUGCCUCAGUAUGCCAGU
rnacentral:piRNA from 1 species